ACGCUGGCGGCGUGCCUAAUACAUGCAAGUAGAACGCUGAGGCUUGGUGCUUGCACCGAGCGGAUGAGUUGCGAACGGGUGAGUAACGCGUAGGUAACCUGCCUGGUAGCGGGGGAUAACUAUUGGAAACGAUAGCUAAUACCGCAUGACAACAGUUAUUGCAUGAUAACUGUUUAAAAGGGGCAAUUGCUCCACUACCAGAUGGACCUGCAUUGUAUUAGCUAGUUGGUGAGGUAACGGCUCACCAAGGCGACGAUACAUAGCCGACCUGAGAGGGUGAUCGGCCACACUGGGACUGAGACGCGGCCCAGACUCCUACGGGAGGCAGCAGUAGGGAAUCUUCGGCAAUGGACGGAAGUCUGACCGAGCAACGCCGCGUGAGUGAAGAAGGUUUUCGGAUCGUGAAGCUCUGUUGUAAGAGAAGAACGAGUGUGAGAGUGGAAAGUUCACACUGUGACGGUAUCUUACCAGAAAGGGACGGCUAACUACGUGCCAGCAGCCGCGGUAAUACGUAGGUCCCGAGCGUUAUCCGGAUUUAUUGGGCGUAAAGCGAGCGCAGGCGGUUAGAUAAGUCUGAAGUUAAAGGCUGUGGCUUAACCAUAGUACGCUUUGGAAACUGUUUAACUUGAGUGCAAGAGGGGAGAGUGGAAUUCCAUGUGUAGCGGUGAAAUGCGUAGAUAUAUGGAGGAACACCGGUGGCGAAAGCGGCUCUCUGGCUUGUAACUGACGCUGAGGCUCGAAAGCGUGGGGAGCAAACAGGAUUUGAUACCCUGGUAGUCCACGCCGUAAACGAUGAGUGCUAGGUGUUAGACCCUUUCCGGGGUUUAGUGCCGUAGCUAACGCAUUAAGCACUCCGCCUGGGGAGUACGACCGCAAGGUUGAAACUCAAAGGAAUUGACGGGGGCCCGCACAAGCGGUGG
rnacentral:rRNA from 1 species